ensembl:lncRNA
AGGAACUACACGGGGCUAAGUUCAGAGAACCGAAUGGCACAUAUCUGUGUACUUGGUGCUCCGGUGGAGGCUGGAGGACCACAGUUCAAGGAUGUGAAAGGUGGGAUACCCAAAGAAGCUCCAAAUACCACCUGCCGACACAAAGAGGAGGGGGAGGAGCGCUGCCUGUCUGUCCUCCUCCCUAACCCACCUCCCAGGGCAGCCGGGCCCAGCCAGCAGGAUCUACGGCCUUGGGAUGAUUUACAGUCAGAGACCUCAGAAGGCUGGCCCCCAGCUAAGGCCAUAAAAUUGGUUUCCAGUGCUGUUUGAUAGUUUAUGGUGAAGGGUAGAUGCUGCUUCCUGACCUGGGGCUUGUCCCUUCAUUACAGAGCGC